rnacentral:tRNA from 1 species
GCCGGCCUGGCGCAAUUGGUAGCGCACCCGACUUGUAAUCGGAAGGUUGCGGGUUCAAGUCCCGCGGUCGGCUC